UCCACCUCAGAGCUGAGGGUGGAGACUGAUCAUUUAUCCUUCAUCUCUCUCUUUGGCUUGAUAAAUGCUACGUCUAGAAUUUUAAAGAGAAUGCAUCGCAUCAUUACGUUUAAAAUAACAAAAACAAAAGCAAACAGCAGCAGCCUACUCUCCUGACUGCUGAGACUGAGCCAUCUCUCCAGUGACUUCUUCCAGGGCUCUAACAAAGAACAUUCACUUAAGCUUUCCAUUUCUAGGGGGGCGGGAGCUGCAGAGCUGUGGCCAGUGCAGGCCAAUGAAUAGGAAAAGAAAAUGGAUCCAGUGGUCAAUACUGGACGUGGCUAUAGCACUUUAUUUUAUAUUUUAUUUGCCACAAAGGAGAGAGAAAGCUUGAAUUGAGAGAGGAAAAAAAUCUGUGGAUGGAGGAAUCUAAUCUACAAGUGCAUUUGAAGCCAGGCUAUCCACAGCCUCAGAAGCAAAGAUUUCUUUUGGUAAAUAUGUUGGGGCCUUCAUGAAGGCAAAAGGAAGCCGAGACACCUCCACGCUGGGUUCUCUGCCUGUCGCAGGCAAACUUCUGUUCCUCCACACUUUGCCCACUCCACCCACAUUCAGGCAAAUUGAUGGAGCUAGAAGAAACCAUCCUAAGUGGGGUAACCCUGUCACAGAAAGACAAACAUGAGCUCCUGGCCAUUUGUCUCCAAAAGGCUCCAUUGCCUACGUGGGUGGACUGAAGCAGACCUGUGUCUCUCAUGGCUCAAGAUGGAGAACUCUCCGCUCCUCAGGCACCAUGCCUGCCUGCAUGCCACCAUGUUUCCUGCCAUGAUGAAAAUGUACUAAACCUCUGAAACUGUAAGCCAGCCCCAAUUAAAUGGUUUCCUUUGUAAAAGUUGCUGUGGUCAUGAUGUCUCUUCACCGCAAUUGAAACCGUAACUGAGACAACAUGGCUCUGAUUGUUCAGGUUCCUCUACAAGCCCACCCCUUGAUUUAAAGUGGAGUUAAUCAGGACCCCAACUUAUGAGCUGAGUGAGAAUAGAGGGACCUUUCCUGGAAAAACUGGAGUGCCUGUUCCUAAAAGAAGGGUAACAGUCACAGCUUAAAACAACAGUAUCCAAUAUAUCCUAGACAUGUUAUGUGAUCUGGACAGGCUGUUUCUUCCUCUCAGGAAUUCUGAGGCUUGUUUGUUUCUGCCUUGUGUUUGGUUUUAGUCCAGUGUAGCCCAGGUUAGCCUCAAGGUCAUUAUGUAGCCAAGGAUGACUUUGAAUUUCUGAUUCUCCUCUCAGAGUCUCCUAAGUGCUGGGAUUACAGGUGUGCACCACACCCAGCUUAUGCAGUUCUGGAGGCUGAAUCCAGGGCGUGCUGAGUGCCAGGCAAGCAUUCUCAUCCCCAGUCCUGGGUGUCUGCUUCUUCAUCUCUGGAUGAAAGUGACAUUCUGAGGGUCUCUGAGACCCUGCCUAGGAUUGGACCUGUGAUAUCCUCCUCUUCUUUGCUACUCCUGGCCUGUGACAUCACAGCUGGACCGAUCUCUUCAGAGCUUCAAGUGUCAACAUUGGCGCUGUAGUCCAGCAGGGCAUUUCCUGGGUUUACUCUCAGAAGCACCUCUAACAUGGUCACCUUCUCGUGCAGCUCACUGGACCACAACAGUUGAAGACAUAGGUCAGGAAUCUUCCCAGAACCCUCGCUCUUCUUUCUACUGCAACUUUCUUUAAAGCCCCAAAGCUCAGGCAACUUGCAGCAAACUGCUGUCACUCCUUGAUUGCAGAGGGCCAGCUGAGGCAGGACUUGGUUCUUGCCCCACAGAAGCUAAACGAGAUCCAGGAGCUGUCCUAUUCUGAAGGUGACCCUCAGCAACUUCAGGGGUUGAUUUCAGGACCUCCCAAGAUCCACAGAUAUUCCAACCUCUUAAACAAAAUGACAGUGUUUUCAUACAACCUAUACAAUCUGCCCCAUAUACUUUAAAUUAUCUCUAGAUAACUUAUAAUCCCUAAUACAAUGAAUAUGUCAUAUGCAGCUACUAAGCUGUAUUGUCUACUAUGCUGUGACAAGAAAAAAAUCUCUUAUGCACAUAUGUAAUUUUUUCUGCAUAGUUUCAAUAGGCUAUGGAUAGACUUCUCUUUCUCUCUGUAUGUGUGUAUAAAGACAGAAAGACUGAGGGAGACAAAGAAAUAAUUGGGGAAAUUGUUUCAUACAGUUGAGGAGGUUCAGUGAGUCCAAAAUCUGAUGGAAGAGGCCAUCAGGAAUUCCCAGGGAAGACUUGCUGUCUGAAUCCAAAAGCAGCCAGUCAGCAGAAUUCCUGCAUGCUCAGGCCAGUUAAUAGAAAAUAGAUUUGUUUUAAAUAAAUUUAUUGUAACUUACAAAACAGAUUUGUUUUCAAGUGAUUGAAUAAAGCCCAGCACAUGAUGGAGAACAA